rnacentral:rRNA from 1 species
UACGGGGGGAGCAAGCGUUGUUCGGAUUUACUGGGCGUAAAGGGCGCGUAGGCGGCCACCUCAAGUCGACUGUGAAAUCUCUGGGCUUAACCCAGAACGGUCAGCCGAUACUGCGGGGCUAGAGUGCAGAAGGGGCAACUGGAAUUCUCGGUGUAGCGGUGAAAUGCGUAGAUAUCGAGAGGAACACCUGCGGCGAAGGCGGGUUGCUGGGCUGACACUGACGCUGAGGCGCGAAAGCUAGGGGAGCGAACGGG